UAUGCUUCUCACAUCUGUGGAACAGUUGUUUAAUUCUAUCUUUGUAGAAGUCAACAGAUAUGGAGGCAAACCAGCUCUUCACAGCAGUAAUGACUUUCUUCUUAUCAAAAAAGUUAUUCCUCAUAAAUGUAUUUUCAUACUUCAAAAGGGGUUUGAAAUGACAGGCCAAGAGACUAUAGGAGAUGGGGCAAGGUUUUGUAGCUAUACUGUUGUAAGUCAGAAACAAUUGGAAAUUUGAAUAUGGGAGAUAGGGCAUAGGUUUCAUUAUUUGUGAGAAAAGUGUGUGUUUCUGCAGCUCUGUGCAGAUGCACUGUCAACUGACAACAGCACAUCUUUUGAUAGCAAACCAUGUCUUUUUUCCUUGAUACUGUCCUAUAACUUUAGUAAUAUGCUCAUUAUUGUUGGC
rnacentral:lncRNA from 1 species